GGUGGCCUAUUGAAUUUGCCUGUGUGCGAGGGCCUCCAGGAUGGAAGCAGUUAAAAUUAAAAAAAAAGCAAACAAACUUGCUAAACAGGAAUCUUGAAAACAGCCAAUGUGAGUGUCACGAAUACCCUGUUGAACCCUAUGGAGGUGGUUUUCUCUUCACUCCGUCGACUCCGUUGAAUCCAGUGAAGCUGCUCUUCCUUUUGAAAGAUUCUUGUACAGCGCUGCAAAAAUGUCAGACCCAACAAGACUGGAAAUGGCAUUGGCUGCAAUGUUCAGUGUCUACAUGUCCUACCAAGGAGAUGACAAAAAACUGACCAAAGAACAAUUUCUAAAACUAGUGAAGGAUGAACUACCCGUACUUGGUGAGGGAAAAAAUGAACAAUGAUGAUAAACGUGUGGACUUUGAAGAGUUCGCCUCACUGGUUGCUGGUUGCGCCUGUGCAAGCCAUGACGCCCUCCAAAAGGUCGUGAAAGAACUGGAUUCAAAAGGCUUCCCAAAGUAAAGCACUGCUGAUGUGGAAAGAAACCCAAUAUAGGCCUUACCUGGAUUCACAUCAAAACAAAGUCUGUCAAAGUCAAAGACUGCGUUUGUUUUUUCUUUAACUUGAUUUGUCUUAGGGAUGGAUAGAAAUGUUUGCUAGUUGCCUAUUCACACCUCUGAACUAGUUGUUCCAUGUUAGGAUAUACCCAUAUUGCCCCCUAUUCUCACAUGGGCUUAAGAAUAUAACACUGAUGUUUGUGUCCACUGUACCUCCUUCAGGUAAUGCUGCCAUCUACUGUUAGAAAACUAUGCCUAUUGGCGGUAGUGUUCAAGUUACUAAUUAUUACUUUAAAGUAAUCCUGUCACUUUACUGAUUACUUUUGAAAAUAAGUAAUUAAUCUUUCAAAACAUGAUACACAACCUGAAAAGGUAAUAAAGCAAUAGAUCUUUUAGUCCAAUUCUACUUUUUCUGCAUAGUCCAUCAUAUAAA